CCGGGGCCGGGGCGCCCGGAGCUGUCGGGAUGUAUGUGGCGGGCGCGUGUCCGCGCUGGGCGCUGCUGGCGCUGGCGCUGCCGCUGGCGCUGCCCGCGGAGCGGCUGGAGCUGCUGCCGCACGGAGAGGAGCGGGGCGACGCCGCGCUGGCUGCGGGAGACGACGCGCACUCGGCGGCGCUGGAGCUGAGCACCGCGCUGCGCUUCUACGGGGCGGCCGUGCGCUCCCUCUACGUUGCCACUAACGGGAUUAUUGCAGUCAAUGAACCUUCAAGUGAAGAAAAGUAUCUUGGUCAGUUCCCAGUCAGUUUUGGGGCUAUUGCUCCUUUUAUGGCUGACCUCGACACAACAGAUGGACGUGGAAAUGUGUAUUACAGAGAAGAUUCAUCCUCAGAUGUCUUGCAGCUUGCAUCAGACUAUAUCAAAAGAGGUUUUCCUGAGACUACUUUUGAUCCCAGUAGUGUUGUCAUUGUUACCUGGAAGCUCGUGGCUCCUUACCAGGCACCUGGAGAAGAUCAUGCUUUGGAAGAAAGGAGAAACACAUUCCAGGCAGUUUUAGCCUCUUCUGACUCCAGUUCCUAUGCUAUUUUCCUUUACCCAGAAGAUAGUUUGCAGUUCUAUAGUACAUACUCCAAGAAUGAUAAAGGAAAGAUUCCUGCUAUGGUUGGUUUUAGUGAAGCCUCCACAAACUACUACUUUUGGGAAAAGCCAGGAUCCUACAAUGUUGUUGCUGAUGAUGAAGAUGGCAUUAGAAAUCUGCACAAAAGCAGCAAUUCUGGGAAACAAGGUGUCUGGGUGUUCGAGAUUGGUAGCUCAUCUGACAGUAUUGUGCCUGCGAAGAUCAGCAAUGUUUUGGAGACCCUAGAAUCCAAUGAACAAGACCAGGAGAUGACUUCAAAACCUUUUAUGUCAGAGUAUGGCUCCACUGAAAUAAGACAGCAGUAUGUCACCAGUACUACAGACAGCACAGAAGACGAUCAGUACCAUGUUACGUAUAGUGUUCCUCAGCUAUCUGCAGAAGAAUUUCUGACUUCGUACCAAGAUGUGACAGGAGCACCUUCAACUGAGUCUUUUUAUAGUCAUCAAGAUUUCCCAACAGCAAAAGCUCCACCUCGUCAGUUCCACAUCCAGCAGUUCCCCCCACAGCAACCACAAAUCAUAGAUGUGGAAGAAUUUGAUGAAACUGGUAUAGUGUUCCGCUACCACACAGAUGUCCAGCAGACCUGUGCUAACAACCGCCACCAGUGCUCUAUACACGCUAUUUGCAAAGACUAUCCCAAUGGAUUUUGUUGCAGUUGUAUUGCUGGUUACAAAGGAAAUGGCAGACAAUGUGUGGCAGAAGGUUCUCCUCAGAGAGUCAAUGGGAAGGUCAAAGGAAGAAUCUUUGUGGGAAAUAACCCUGUUCCAGUUAUAUUUGAGAACACUGAUCUCCACUCCUAUGUUGUGAUGAACCAAGGGCGUGCCUACACUGCUAUCAGCACAAUCCCAGAGACUCUGGGCUAUUCAUUACUGCCUCUUGCCUCUAUUGGAGGUAUCAUAGGAUGGAUGUUUGCUGUGGAACAGCAAGGAUACAAAAAUGGAUUCAGUGUUACCGGUGGUGAGUUUACACGGCAAACUGAAGUAACUUUUCUUGGCAACAAUGAGAAGCUGGUUAUAAAGCAGAAAUUCAGUGGAAUUGAUGAGCAUGGUCACCUCACCAUCAGCACAGAAAUGGAGGGCAAAAUACCUGAGAUCCCAUCUGGCUCAUCAGUCCACAUAGAACCAUACACUGAACUCUAUCACACUUCUAGUUCUGUGAUCACUUCAUCGUCCACCAGGGAGUACACAGUGACAGAGCCAGAAAGGGACGGGGUUGCUUCCACAUACAUGGGUGCCUAUCAGUGGCGACAGACCAUCUCGUUUGAUGAAUGCAUUCAUGAUGACUCUCACCAUGCUGCUUCUGCUACUCAGCAGCUCUCAGUGGACAGUGUGUUUGUCCUGUAUAACAGAGAUGAGCAAAUUUUGCGAUAUGCUAUGAGUAAUUCCAUUGGCCCAAUCAGUGAUGGUUCUGCUGAUAUUAACAGGAAUCCUUGCUACACCGGUACCCAUAACUGUGACACCAAUGCAGUAUGUCGUCCAGGAACUGGAAAUAGUUUCUUCUGCGAAUGUUCCAUUGGCUUCCGUGGAGAUGGAAAUGUUUGUUAUGAUAUUGAUGAAUGUUCAGAGCAACCAGAUCUAUGUGGCAGCAAUGCAGACUGCAAUAAUCAGCCGGGAACCUACCGCUGUGAGUGUGUCGAAGGAUACCAGUUUGCAGCAGACGGGCGGACUUGUGUUGCUGUUGAAUAUGCCAUAAACCAUUGCCAGACAGGCACACACAAUUGUGACAUUCCUCAGCGCGCUCAAUGUGUGUACACUGGAGGGUCUGCCUACAUCUGCACAUGCCUCCCUGGCUUCUCUGGAGAUGGGCGUGCCUGUGAGGAUGUAGAUGAAUGUCAACAAGGCCAUUGUCAUGCAGAUGCUUUCUGCUACAACACUCCUGGGUCCUUCAGCUGCCAGUGUAAGGCAGGUUAUCGUGGGGAUGGUUUCCGGUGUGUGUUAGGAGAAGUAGGAAAGACCAAAUGCCAGCAUGAACGAGAAGCAGCUCUUGGAAGUGGAGGCGCUUUCUUCUCAAGAGUUGGUCACUUCAUUCCCCAGUGUGAUGAGCAUGGGAAUUACCUACCCACGCAGUGCCAUUCUAGCAGUGGAUAUUGCUGGUGUGUGGAUAGGGAUGGCAAUGAGAUUGAUGGUACUAGAAGUGGCCCAGGAGUUCGACCACCAUGUCUGAGCACAGCUGCUCCUCCUGUUGUUAUUGGGCCCUCUGUUCGACCAGAUACAGUACCUCUGCCUCCAGGAACACAUUUGCUCUUUGCCCAGAGUGGUAAAAUUGAACAUGUUCCACUAGAGGGAAACAGUAUGAAGAAGAAUGGUGCAAAAGCACUGUUGCAUAUUCCACAACAGGACAAAGUUGUUAUUGGAGUUGCUUAUGAUUGCACGGACAAGAUGGUUUAUUGGACAGACAUCAGUGGCCCUUCGAUCAGCAGAGCUAGCCUACAUGGUGGGGAGCCAACAACCAUCAUCAAAACAGACCUGGGAAGCCCUGAGGGGAUAGCUGUAGAUCAUCUGGGUCGCAACAUCUUCUGGACUGACUCUCAACUGGAUAGAAUAGAAGUGGCUAGGCUGGAUGGGCGCCAGCGUCGCAUCCUUUUUGACACCGACCUGGUGAACCCCAGAGCAAUUGUUGCAGAUCCUAUGAGAGGAAACUUGUACUGGACUGACUGGAACAGAGAAGCUCCUAAAAUUGAAACCUCAUAUAUGGAUGGCACAAACAGAAGAAUUCUUGUUAAAGAUGAUCUUGGGUUACCAAAUGGGCUGACGUUUGAUCCUUAUUCCUCAAUGCUUUGCUGGGUAGAUGCAGGUACAAAAAGACUGGAAUGCAUGAAUCCUAAUCAGCUUGGUCGACGAAAGGUUGUUGAAGGAAUUCAGUAUCCUUUUAGUGUUACAAGCUAUGGGAAGAAUUUAUACUACACAGACUGGAGAAGGGAUGCUGUCGUAGCAGUGGAUCGCACUAUUUCAAUAGAAAAUGAUAACUUCCAGCCUCACAAACGCUCCCGUCUCUAUGGAAUCACUACAGCCUUUGCUCAGUGCCCAGGAGGGCAUAACUACUGUACAGUGAAUAAUGGUGGUUGUACUCAUCUCUGCUUGGCUACCCCAGGAGGCCGUUCUUGCCGCUGCCCUGACAACACAGUUGGAGUGGAUUGUAUAGAAAGAAACUGAGCAUUAAAAUAAGCUUUAGAGCAGCAGACACCUUUUGGAAAUGUGCUGUAAACCGUUCACUCCUAUGAACACAAUCAGGCCCUAAAGAUAAGUGCUCCAUGCUGCUGACAGCAAGCCACAAUGCACAUAUGCAGACACACACACAGGCGAUGACUGUUUUGUAGCAGCUAGGCAAGGCAUAGCUACCCAGAUUGGCUCCAACUGCGUCUGGUUCCUUGUAAUAUUAUGUCCUUACUUUUAAAGGUAAAUGUGGAGGCCUUAGUUGCACCUGUGCUGAGCUAGAAGGUCUCUUGAAAAAUUAAAAGUAACAAAUACCAAACAGAGUAAUGAGGAUGGCACAACUUAAAUCCUGAGACUGGUUUGUACCUUGGAGUAUGCAACAGUUAUCUGCACAGUGGCAUUCUUAGUGCGUCAUAUAUGUCGCUGGGUUAUAAUCUCUGGCCAAGAGGCAACCAGGGCGUCCAAGGAUGAAUAGCUGUGAAUGGGAAGACCCAGUAAUAUCACAGAUUUAAUGCCUAACUGCAUUACUUCCCACUACCAGUCCUUCCACUUUCAAAACUUGAAUCUCAACUUUUGAUGCUUACAUUAUGAAAAUACUUUAUCCAUGUGCUCUGAGGGUAGUUCUCACCCUAGCUCAUGUGAUUCUUUCCCACAGUAUGUGAUUCUUUAUAGAUAAUCAACACUGCUUGGUGGACAUAUUUGAAGUUUUUGUUGGAUUUUAAGAGCUUUAUUUUUCUUCCGUCUGAGCUGGAUUCCUGAGCAGUUUCCUAAAAUUCACUAAACAAACUUUAGCUAUAGAUCUCAAUUGCUGAUAGUUCAUCAAAGAAUGGGUAUUGAUUCAUUUGGAGGCAUUUGGUUUUAAAUAGACACACAGUCCCAUUUGUUUCCUGAGAGCUUUUAAGGUAAUUUUAUGUUUGGUUCUGUAAGCCUGAAAGUGAUCUUUGAGUUCUAUCCUAGCAAUCUUUCUUCUUUAGCAAACUGUGCUGUGCCAUGCCUUUUUGUGAAGCAUGAGAAAUCGUGGCAGUUAGAAAUCUGAUUUCCAGGAAGGAAACCUGUGUCUUGAUGCUUAGAAGAAAAAAGAUAAUGAUGCCCCCUUUGUGUGCCAGUGUUCAGUGAACAGCAAAAAGUUGUCCUGAAAAUCAAAGCAAAAGUUGGUGUUUUCGUCAUCACCAAUGAGUUUGGAGCAGGGAGGGAACAUCAAAAUGCAUAUUUGUGUGUCAUAUUAGCAGUACAAAUCUGGGAGUGAAGUUUGGCUCUUACACUGUGUGUUGGGAAGGAGGCUUACCUGCAAGCCAGCAGAACAAAACAGGACUUGUGAGGCUUCUACCGGACCACAUAUCACAAUGUAGUGACCAGAGCAGUAAAGUAACAUUCCCAUUCCCUCAAUCCCUCUUAUGACACUACAAUAACAGUUUUAAACAGAGCCAAUUCUGAGUCUUAACUGUGUGACAUGUUCUUCUUUAAUUGUGUAUUUAUCAUAAAAUAACAAAGCAUAUAAACAUUUUAAAUUUUUUAUAACUUUUUUAUAACUUUUAAUUCAUUUUAUUCACACACUUAAUCAGGUAUGUCUUACUGUAAAUAUAAAAAAUGUGCUGAAAUGAAGGUGCUUAAUAACUCUUUCUCCAGAAUUGUUCACACAUCUGGUGAAAUAUUAAAGUUUACACUCUGUACAGGUGUCUACAGUACAGUGAAUAAAAUUUUCUGGGUUUUAUUUUCUAUAAAGAAGAAAGUCAUACCUGGAGAAAGAAGUGGUACAUGGUGUCUGAAAUCUCUUUUCCUGUUGAGUUCUGGGUUUUAGCCAACUCUUAAUAUCUAGUGAUGAUACUCCUUUUUGAAGAUGCAACACCAUAGGGUGGAAACUGCUGUUGGGGCUUUUGUGUUCUGAAACCAGUGGCACAGUUUUAUUCAAAACAAAUAUGUGAGAGCACUAAAAGAACAUAUAGCUUCCUCUGUUUUCACAGACUUACUGGUUGUUAACUAUUGCUGACUUUGUCAAGUAAGCUUAAUUCAGUUACAACAUACUUCAGACUUCUACAUUACUGGAAAUAUGGGGCAAGAACUGGGUUCAGUGGGGGACAGAAUUUGUAUCUCUGCUCAAAGAUGUGCUUGUGCCACUUCCUAGGUGACUUUGCUGCCUGGUGCCAAAGCGUGGCUCUGUGUGGCUGCAGGUGUGCUGUGGCUGCAGGGCAAGUUGCAAGCUAAGUGAAGUGUGGUCUGCUGGAGGUGAUGAUGCUGAGAUCUAAACUCCAAUUUAUGGCUACAGCAUGUCAGUGCCUUGGGGGAGAAUAGCAAAAGGCUGUGUGGUACUGUUUGGUGUACAGCUGGAGAACACUGUGCCUGUCAAGUGAGCCAUUGGAAAGGUUCUGGAAAGGGUGAUAAAUUUCAGCACUUCCUAGUCUGGAUAGUAAAGGGUUCCCCUUUUUCUGACUUUGUCUGCUGGACCUACUGACCUCCAAGCCAAUGUGGUAAUAAAUUCUCAGGAAGAAAAACUCAGAACAUCUUUAUUCCUACAACCUGGCAAGGAUAAGAAAGCUCUCCUAUUCUGCCUUCUAAACUGUGGUAUGGAUAAUUUAUUGAGCUUAUAAUUUUCAGUGAGAAUGAAACUGGGGAGCUUUUGGUCCAAAAUAUACAAGCAGCUGUUGGUCAAGAUGUGGAAUGCAAGAGUGGAAAUCUAAAUCCCUGUGCGUUUUAAAGUGAAUGGAGGUAUGAAAUUGAAACCGGCUGUGAUACUGAGCACUGAAAAGCAAAUUCUAGUUUAACAAAAUGUUCAUUGGCGAUCAACCACUUUCACACAGUUUCUUUUCUUCUUAAAACAAUUGCUUGCAUGAGGAACUUUCUCACUGCUCAAACUCAGUCAGGCUUAUGUUUUAGUUCUUCUCCUAGAAAAAAGAAUGAGGGGAAGGUCUUCUUGUCAAGAGUAUAAACUUAAUUUCCAAAUCAACAAAGACUCCAUAACUCAUGAGCUUUCUCCUCUGGUCAAGUCAGCCACUGCCAAGAGCUUCUUCUCUGUUUACAGCCUGCUCCACUGUAGCUGCGAGCAUGGACUGUUCAUGUUGCAGCCUGUUGUCAUGCUAAUGAGAGAAGAAGAGGGAAAACUGUUUGUAGGUCUCUAAUGAACUGUGAGAUGUGAUGAAAAAAAUCUGGAUUUAAGUCACCACCAGCUUUAAAAAGAAAUGUAUUCAGAGAUUCUGAUGUGCUUCUAACAUCUAAAAGAAAUCAGAUAAUUUUUACCUUGUACUCUCCAAAUAUUAAUAGGUUGCUUAUUAUUUUUAAGGUGGAAAAGAGUUAAUGGUUUUUGUUUGCAUUAGACAAUUUUUACUAACUAGAGCUAUUUAGAAUUGGAGUUUACAAGUAUCACAUUUUUUUAAAUUUGCUUUUCUUAGGGAAAGCAAGGAAAUUGAACAGUAAAGGCUGGUUUUGAACAACAUAUGUAACAUGUCUAUCUUCAUAUAUGCUGUCAGAUAUGUAUACGAAAAUGAUGUACUGAAUUGCGUUAGGUUCUUCCCUUCAUCCGUGUGCAUUAGAAAUUUGGCUUGGUAUUUUAUGGUAUACCUUGUUUGUUCUUGAGUAGUGGUGUGUUUUUCCAGUUACUGAAGUUUUUGUGAUCUCUCACACAUUGUUUCAAAUCUGGUUUAUUGCUUCUGAUCUAAAACAAAUUCCUAUGAUAUUCAUCUGAAACUUCAAUUUAAAAAGUGCUGUGCGUGAAAAUCUACUUGCAGAUAGUCAGGAAAUGUCAGUGGUGUAUACACAGUUCUGGGACAAACAGAGAGAGGAAGAAGGGUUACACUUUGUGAACUCACACGUCCUCAUUUCAAAAAUGGUCUUGGGGUAUUUCUUCAGAAAUACACUCUUAUCUCAAGGCACAGUUUGUUUAUAGAGGGUGAUAAAGAUUGAUAUGUAUGUUCCCUGUUCCUGCUUUAGAAUGUAAGACGUUUUCUUGUGCUUCCUCAUGCAGUUGAAAACAAGCUGGCUUACUGAUAGUCCAACUCCACAUUCCCUUUAGGAGAGAUAAAGAGUGAAAAAGAAGAGGGUUGUUAGCCAUUUCUUGCAGUUUAACGACACAAAACAAGUUAGUGGUUAAUGUACAGAUGUGUGUACUUCAGAAACUAUGGCCAGAAGAAUAUUGCACAAUAAACUCAACUGAGCUGUUGGAGGCUUGUCACUUGCCAGCAGAGCAGCCCUUGAGGGCAUUCCUCUCUGCAGGAGACACCACACUGCUCAUCCUUUCUCUUGGUGUCUUUUGAUUCUGCAUUUGUAGGAGGACUUCAAGUAUCCAACUUCAUCCUGGAUAGCUGGGCCAACCUCUGUAUGAAAAAAACACAGAAGUGACUUUUCUUUUCCUUGCUGAAAUUUAUUCUAUUCAACACCUAAGCAGUAUCUAAGGUAUGAGAACCUCCAGCUGCCAAAUGCUUAAGUCCCAUGGCUCUUGCAGAGGACUCACAAGUGCAGCCGAGACCUUUGCAGCCCACCUGCUUCUGCACACAUCUGUCUCAUAGGUAACUGGAAAUAGUCUCACUGCCUUGAUCUUCACUUCAGCCAUGGCCCCUGUGUACUUUCACUAGAAACACUGAUUUCUAAUGGCCUGACAUUUAUCUGGUUGAAAAGAGACAGAAAGCAACUCUAAUGAACUGUGGUGGAUUUCGUGUAUAUUGAGAUUUUCUGCAUGAUGAUUUCUAGUGCUGUUCACACACAAGUCACGUGUAGAAGCUAUUCAUUUUUGAUGCAGGUCAUGUUCUCCUAAUAUAUGACAAGUUAUAAUAUGUGGUGCCAUAGGUCGUGUAUCAUGGUGCUUUCCUAUUUUGCAACAAUAUGUAUAACAAUUUUAGUUGUAGUGCAUCUGUCAAAGAGUACUUUUGUAAAGCAGGAGUAUAGAACUGGAGCCAUUUCAUACAUAAUGGAAUAAUAGCAGAACUGGGUUAUUAUUCUACUUCCUUAAAUGUUGUAACAAGUUACUCCAUUUGUAGUGAUCGGUCCAUGUCCAAUAGCUUAAUAGCAUUAGCCAUGGGGUUUUUUCUGAUGUCUUUGUAAUUUGGUUUAACAGUGCUCGGGUCGCUAUCAUAUCACUUCUAAUAUAUCAUCUGUUGUGCAAUAAAUAAAACUUGAAGAGUUAGUAGCCCACAGUAAAUAAAAAUUGAGUCCAAACCUUGUUGAUAAAACAAAUACUUUACAUGGAAUACAGGAAGAGAAAAGAGGAGUCUUAAGCUUUAAUAAAAUAUGUGUACUCCUCAUAGUGUACUUGGUGCUCAAGAAUGAAAGCUCAUUGAUACCACUGGAGUGCUUGCUUUCAUUCCAGCAACAAUUCAAAUAAACUGCUCUCCAAGUGAAUUCAUCUUGAGUUAGCUUGUCAGAUGUGUCAGCACAAUAAAAGACUAGAGUUGCACAGAGUUACGCUGCCGCUGCAGAGUAGCUAAGAUUGUACCCUUAUGUUACAAACAUGUAAUGACAAAUCUGCCUUAAAAUAUUCCUCUCUCUUCCUGCUGCAGCUGACUUAACUGUUUGUGUGAUUGGAUUCUAAACAGUGUCUCAGAGGACCUGUACUGGUGGCAUGGCUUCACCUUCUACAGAAGAGUCAGAGAUCACUGUCUGAGUAUAGGAACCUCUUCAGCUGGAUAUUCUGGUGACGGAGUAGUACCAUGAAACCACUGUCUGGUGGGUCAGUGAGGGAAGCCUGGGAGCUCACAGAAAACUGCAAAAUGAACCUCUUACUUUGUGUUGUCAGUCUGCCCUUGCUCUGGUGGGAAGACCAUUACCAGCCCAUUGGUACCUUUGCCUCUCACUGAUCCCUUAGGAGUAUACUCCCUCUCUUCCUCUAUCUUCUGUGAAAUCCCAGGAUCAACUCUCUUGUGUCUCUACGGUUCAACAUUUUUUACCAACCAUGCCUCUUCAGAAGCUCCAUGUGGUUGCAUAUCUAUGAAACAUUCCUUCUGGGGCUGACAGCAGCAGGUGAACACAGUGAUUUACAUUUCAUUAACCCCUGCUCUCUGCAGAGGUGGUCUAAAUCAGUCAAGUGAAAUGGAGUAGCUUCCUGUUUAGCUGGUGCACAGAAAAGCAGAAUUGUGCCCAUUACUCAUGCUGGGCUUAAAGGAACAAUUCACAGUCAGAAGUCUUCAUAUUUCACCAACAAUCUUCUAGAAAGUCUGGCUGAUGACAUAUUUUUCUCACUCUUUCUCCUUGCUUUCUUUUUUCCUUUAUAAGAACAUAGCAGUCUCCAGGAGCGAUUGCACCAUUACAGGCUUGCAGCUCUUGAGCAAGUGUUUAUUAAUUGCUUCAUUCGUUGAAAACUGCUCUGUGAUUGUCUUUAAUUUUACUAAAAUACUAUUAUUUUUAUUCCUCCCAGUGAGAGGGUGUAUCAAAAUGUUCUGUAGUGAAGGAUUAAAGAACAGAAAACUUUGCAUUUCCAAAUGGCUUUCCUAUUGCCUAGAUUUCCUCAGUAUCUUCGCAGGGUGAUUGCCUUCAGUUCUGCAUUAUUUUUCCUCCUAGGGACCUCAGUCAGGAGUAAACUCCAAGUUGCUCUGGCCAGCUCUGGAUUCAGACUCUGGGGUUUUUUUAACUUAGCAAUCUUGGCAAGAUUAACUGCCCGCCUGAGCAAAUUUUGUGGUCUUGCUGGCUGUGGUGGUCUCAGAUGACAGAGGUAAAAUUCACAUAUUAUUGACCUGAUAAGCAGUGAAAGUUCAGUCUAACACAUUAAAGUACAGCAUGACUUAUCGGUGUAUCUGCUUGUGUAUUUACAUUUGACAGUCCUAAGGCACCUCCACUGGCAAUAAAUUACUGGGCACAAUCAGGAGCAGGUCUUCUUGACAAAAUAAUAUGUCUGAUUUCUUCUUUUCACCGUCCCAAACAAUUUUAAACUGUCUUGUGAAUAGAUAUUUUUUACUUUGAACAAUUAAUUGAUUUUUGAAUGUCAAAGUUUCUCACACUAGUUAAUGCAUACUGGGUUUUUUGGUAGGAAAAUGCUAUCUUUUUUUGGUUUCUUUUUUUCUCUCUGUUUUAUUUUGUUUUAAGUUGCACUUGCAGAAUAUUCUAUUUCAAGAAACAGGCUAGCAAUUGGAAGCAAAUGUGUUUGUAGAACAAACCCUAAAAUCUGCUGCAUUUGUGACAGAAGCACAGUACCAACAUAAACAAUUCUAUCAGAGCACAUGAACCAAGUGUAAUAGCUUUGAGCUCUUCAUGAUAGAAAACAACAACACUUUAUAAAACAUUUUAGGUUAGUUUAUCUGCCUUUUGAAUGAAAUGUAAGUUUCCUUCCUCUUCACUAAAACCAAAAAGUAAUGGAACUGGAGAUAAGGCAGUUCUAGAUAGUCUCAGGACCAGGACAGUCAUCUACAGAGGGCCAGUAUGGGGGUUUUCCCCAUACAGAAUAGGUGUAUCACAGGAAGUUUGACUUCAAGUAAAUCAACAAUUCAGAAUCGAAAACUCCAAGCAAAUAUGAAAGGGAGCAAAAUCCUAAUAAGCUGCUUUCUGGUUUGCAAAAACAGAUUUGCAGUUGUCAUACAGUGCUGGUGAAGAAACCCAACAUCGUUACUUGUAGAGCAACAGCAGGUAAAAAAGAUAUUGAAGCCAUAUAUUUAUUUGCAUUAUUAGGCAGGGAUGCUAAAUCUGUCAGGAACUGAAGUAUAAUAGUGCUUACAGCUAUUUGUUCUUUCUUUGAAAAGAAACCGAAUUGUAUGCUCAGCUCUUAUACUUUCAUUCAAAAAAUAAUUAGGAAAAUUUUUAUGUUAAAAACUGCUACUUAAAUAUUCUUCAGCCUGUAGAAUGGGUAAUUUACAACCAAAAGUUUUAAAAAACUCUCACACAUUGACAAACUCUCUGAGCCUUUGAUGUUAGCAUAUAACAAAUUAGAUAUCUUCAAACUCUUCCACAAUCUUGCUUUCAAAACCUGGAGUUCCUAACUAUGGGGCUAAAGCAUGAUUGUUUCUCUUUUCUCUGUAAUGAAUUAGGAAGGAGUCAGCAUGUCUUCCCUGUGAAAGUUUUCACAGACGUUACAUCAGUGGUUAGGGUUGUGAUUUCGGAACUUAUUUUACUUUCUAAUAUGUUUACUUUAUUCCAGUCCUGCUAGUUAAUUAGAGAUGCUUGGAGUAAACAUGGCUCGCCAGCUGUAUGGUCUUGCAUGAAGACCUGUGAUUUCAGAAUUUUUCCGUGGCUGAUCUCCAGUUACUGCCCAGGGAUGGCAUUAAAAAGAUUUCCUGGAAACUGUGAUCAUCUGAAGGAGGGGAAGGUAGCCUUGGAUCUUAUUAUAGUGAUUCAUGUUCCCUCUGGAACAGACAUGAAACAAUCUAUGAGGAACUGCCUUCUGCACCAGCUAAGACACAAACACUAGUAUAGCAUGAACAGACUUUUAAAAUAAUAUUAAAAGCAGUAUAUAUCAGCAUUGUGUAAUUUAUGCUAGCUGGCUAUUGGUUUUUGACUGAUGUUAUGACUCGACUUCAAUGUACAAAGGAAUUGAAUUAGCCACUCUCUAUUCAAGGGAAAAUUAAUGAAGUUCAUUAUCCUUCAAUGGACCUUAGGUUUGAAACCUUCUUGGUUAAAAAGUACUCCCAACCUAAGCAGUAACACAGGACCUAUAACAGUACCUGGUUCUCUGUCGAGGUAGUAGUGGCUUUCUUUAGACCAAAAGGGAAAUUGCCAUUAGUGUUAUUAGUGGCCGUCUUCAAUGAGAGCGGGAAGCAAAGAGUAGCUAAAGAUGUGCUAUUUUCCUGUACAUUUAACUCUUAACUAAGUAAGUGGAGACUAAGGUAGCAUGUUCUUGCAUGUAUGUACUCACUAUGGAUGGAAGAGCUGCCUGCACUUGCAUCUCCUUAAAAUCAAUAACGUGGCUCCCAUUGUCUUCAGGAGGAACAGAAGCCAAAGCUGCAAAUCCUAUCAGAUAAUUAUAAAUUAAACCAAGAGUUGCAGCAUGCAGCAAAACCUCACGUGACUAUGAUUCAGGAAAGCACUCUGUGUUCUUCAUCAAGGAAGUAAAUCAUGUAGCAGAGGAGGCAUUUUCAGUGUUUUUAAUGCUCCUCAGGAAAACUAAGUACAAUUUUGACUGUGCAGGUUUAUAUCCUCCAUACCUUCAUGGAAUUUUUCCACCUUUAAGGGCCUUUUUAAUUCACAAAAAAGCUUUGCCUUCUGUUAAUAUGUUCCAAUGUGCAUUUAUUUCCACAGCUGAUCACUGAAACCCCAAGAAGGCAACAGCUGUUGUGAAUGUAUAACCAGAUUUCCCAGCUAAUUAGUGGUUUUAAAUGGACUUGGUUUCUCCCCCCCUUGUGAUUUCAGUAUUGAUGACACUGCUAAUAAAUUCUUAAUGAGAAAGAAUGUUAUAUAGAUGUUGGGUAAACUAGAUCUUCUUUUGUAUUGGAAGCAUAGCACACAAUUAAAAUGUACCAUGGAUAGAAUCAUAGCUUUGUUUAACUCACAUCAACCUACUCACUCUGUGCUGAAAUGUGUCCUGUUGUGUUAAAUGUACCACACUGAUCUAAAAGUGGUGAAUUCUGUGGGUGCCCGGGGUUAUUAUCAGACCCAGACGCUGCAUGCUUGCAAGACGUGCCUCCACACAGUUCCUCAAGUCUGAAGCAGAAGAAGUGUGUAAAAUGAUCCCACUUGUCCUUUACAAAACCGGUUUCUAAUCCUUGCAAAGAAAGCAUCGCAAACGUAAUUUUCCCAUUAAAGCUGACUGUCUAUUACUUAUCUUUUCCAUAAGGUUUCUUGGUUUAUUCAUGGUGUGGUCACAGUGAAUCAGGAGAUAACUGUGCAGUCUGUAAGGAAUUUUUACACUUAGUUGGAAAUCAUUGCUUUUUAAAGCUGUUAUUUAUGAUCACUUCUCUACAUUAAUUUUGGAAGCAUACUGAUCAUUUCAAGGGUUUUCGUUCAGAAGUUGGGCAGGUAAGAAUGUGAUUUUUAAAGAGAAAGUUUUAUAUUUAGGAAGCACUAACCAGAGGUUAAAAUCUUUUGAAAGCCAUCCUCUGGUCACCUCUGCCAAGCAAGUAGGGAGCGAGGAGUGGGGAAUCCAAAAUGAAAAAAAUUGAAACCUUGCAGAUUUUUAAAGCUCAAUUAAAUUUGAAGUGUAAUUUAACCUGAUUUCUUCAAUAAAAUGGAAUUUUCCAAGAAAUAUAUAUUUGUGAUAAAAUUCUAAUUUUUUUAGAAAAUGGAUAUGUGUCAUUAGCUGUGUUUCUGGUGGAGAAGUCCUGCUGGAUUGUGUGUGAUCCUAACAAGCUUUAGAAUACUGAGGACAAUUUGGCUCAUGUUUACUGCUGGGGAAGGAAGGCUGUGUAAGCUUCUGUGUGUAAUGCCAGUGCUGCAUGAGCCAUGAAUCGAUCUCCCUGUAGAAAAUGAUGACAUUUGUUUUUUAGAAUUCAUGCUUCUGAGAAUUCUAAGUAUUAAUUUAAUUUUUAGCCUUCCGUUUUCUGAGACCUCAGCACUUUCAUUUUCUAUGCUUUGAUCUGCAGCUCUGAGGAUAUGAGUAAUUUUUAAAGGGGAAGUGGAGUUUCUGUGUUGACCACAUAAUUGCAAGAGCUGGGCUUUUGUGAAAGAUAAUCCAAUAUUGUGAAACUAGUGAUGAACUCAUCAGAAUUGUUGUGGCUGAGAGGACGUUCUUAGAGCAUGAGAUACUAUUGGUAAUGAACAGAGUGAAGGGAAAGUAAAUGAUUUCCAGCUUUGGCGUUGCAUCCUGUCAGCCGAGUACCUGCAUCCAGAGUUCAGCUUAAUUGUUCCUUUUCCUUGCAGGCAUCAAGCAAAUAUUUUCUUAUAUGCACCUUUUUAAACAUGAUUCACUUGUCUAUAUUGCUGGGCAGAGAUUUAGCUUAUUUACCCAAGGACAAUCACUUGGCUUCCAAACUAUAUUUUUAAAACAACAUGGCUUCUGUGACCAUCCUUCAUCCACUGGAUUUAUAUAAAUAGAUUAAUCAAAAAACUACACAAAAGGAUUACUAAUACAGUGCAAAUCAUCAUCUUAAAAG